rnacentral:lncRNA from 1 species
CUCUUCUUGGAAAAGUAUACUGUUACAUGUAGUAUAUUAUGUCGGUUGGUUGAUUUUGUUGGUAGCUAAAUUUCAAGUGGCAAAUAUUUCAUUCCUGUUCGCAUAAGUAUUUUUUCGAACGUUCACGGUAUCAUUUAUAAUUUAUAAUGACAAAUCUAACACAAUUGACGAGAUUGUUCAUAGUUAUACAACACCUUAUGUGCAAUACAUGUAACACUGUACAGUGUACAAUUUCCUUUUGAACAUUUUCUGGAAAACAGAAUCGUGAAUCCAAGGCAAACAAACGUGAAUUACGAAGGAAUAUUUAUGAAGAGCCUGUCAAAAAUGGGGAACGAAGCAACGUUAAAAAUGAUGUUGAUAACCCAUGAUAUAAAAAUAAUGUUCCUAUGCGCGGAUAACCUC